GCGCGCAGCUCGGUGGUUCUCUGGCGCCGCUCCCAGCGCAGGGCUUCUUACCCUGGGACCCUCAGGGACCUUGAGUAGGAUACACUUCCCAGAGGAAGCUCCAUCCGAGCACUGAUUCUCAAACUCAACUGCACAUGGGAAUCACCUGGGAAGAUUUUUAAAAAUAUGAUGCCUGGAUCCUGGCCCCUACAGCAGUGAUUCUCAAUUGGGCGAUUUGCUCCUCCCACCAGGUCCAGACAUGUCGCUGUUAUUCCAUUUAGCAACUGCAGAGUGUUACACUGCAUGGCACUGGUGGACUUAAAGAACAGCUGCUUAUUGAAUGCGAGUGGAGUGAACACAGGCAUUUCUGGAACAUGACACACUAAAAGCACAAAAUGGAUGAGAAUCUACAAGGAUAAGAGCAUGAGAAAGAUGAAAACAGAUGAGAGAUGUCAAUACAGUUUGGGAAGCUGGAAAGGGAUAGAGAUGGUAACCAGGGAAAACUGGAAGCCUUGCAUGGGAGUGGAGUAGGGGGGAGGAUGGUUAGGACUCAUGUCUAAUACCAGGAAGUAAGUGGACUCACUUUGGGGGGGCCUCCAGGAAAGGCUCAGGAACUAGGCGUCAGAUACAGUACUUUGCAAGGCCGAGACAGCCAAAGGGGGAGAUAUAAGGAGCAAUUAGACUUGCAGAUCCCAUCCCCACAAGCACAGCCCAGAGACUUCUCCCAAGCCCUGUAACACAGGAGGUUUAUUCUCUGGAAGAAAAUAGCAAAGGGCCAGAUUAAAGCAGAGGAUUUACGUGUAGUAAAACAAGAAGAUGAAUGAAAGUCUGCACACUGAACAGAGAAGCACCACAGUGCCUCACCACGGCCCAGCCCUAUUCUCCCACCUGGCUCUCAAACACUAUCAACCAGGCUUUAUACUCUCUGCAUGGAAGCCUGGAAGACCCUUCUUGAGAGGCAACAAAUAACCCCAGGUAAACCUACAGACAUCUGGGGUAGAGAUCUAUCAAUUAAAAUCCAACAGUCUUAUUUUUUUUAAAUAUAUUUUUAUUGAUUUCAGAGA